rnacentral:ribozyme from 13 species
CAAGAGAACAAAGAGAGUGAUCGAAGGAAGGAACAAUAAAAGGAGCGAGAACAGGUAAAACAAACCUGUUGCCAGAUGUAGUUUUGGCUUUGAUGUUUGCGCCUCCAGCAUGGAGACAUUGGGCCAUUUCAAGAAUACCAUCUAUGAGAUCAUGGAUGAUGAUAAACAAAAAGAAUAGAAAAGAAACAUCAC